rnacentral:hammerhead_ribozyme from 1 species
AUCCAGUGACGAGUCCCAAACAGGACGAAAUGCGCAUUAUCCUAGAU